rnacentral:rRNA from 1 species
GAUGAACGCUGGCGGCGUGCCUAAUACAUGCAAGUCGAGCGAACAGACGAGGAGCUUGCUCCUCUGACGUUAGCGGCGGGCGGGUGAGUAACACGUGGAUAACCUACCUAUAAGACUGGGAUAACUUCGGGAAACCGGAGCUAAUACCGGAUAAUAUAUUGAACCGCAUGGUUCAAUAGUGAAAGACGGUUUUGCUGGCACUUAUAGAUGGAUCCGCGCCGCAUUAGCUAGUUGGGAAGGUAACGGCUUACCAAGGCAACGAUGCGUAGCCGACCUGAGAGGGUGAUCGGCCACACUGGAACGGAGACACGGUCCAGACUCCUACGGGAGGCAGCAGUAGGGAAUCGUCCGCAAUGGUCGAAAGCCUUACGGAGCAACGCCGCGUCAGUUAUGAAGGUCUUCGGAUCGUAAAACUCUGUUAUUAGUGAAGAACAAAUGUGUAAGUAACUAUGCACGUCUUGACGGUACCUAAUCAGAAAGCCACGGCUAACUACGUG